CAUUACUGAAAUGUAAUAACUUCUAUUGAAAGGUUCCAGAGUAGGCGCUACAACGCCGAAAUGACCUUCUCACCCUUGUGUACUCACUAUGUUGCUUUGGCGGGUCGACCUGGUUCCGACCCAGGCGGCCGGCGCCCCCAGCCUUAACUGGCCAGGACGCCCGGCUAAGUGCCCGCCAGUAUACAAAACUCAAGAAUUCAUUUUGUGAAGUCCUGAUAUAUCAUUUAAUUGAUUAAAACUUUCAACAACGGAUCUCUUGGUUCUGGCAUCGAUGAAGAACGCAGCGAAAUGCGAUAAGUAAUGUGAAUUGCAGAAUUCAGUGAAUCAUCGAAUCUUUGAACGCACAUUGCGCCCUCUGGUAUUCCGGAGGGCAUGCCUGUUCGAGCGUCAUUUCAACCCUCAAGCUCUGCUUGGUAUUGGGCAACGUCCGCUGCCGGACGUGCCUUGAAGACCUCGGCGACGGCGUCCUAGCCUCGAGCGUAGUAGUAAAAUAUCUCGCUUUGGAGUGCUGGGCGACGGCCGCCGGACAAUCGACCUUCGGUCUAUUUUUCCAAGGUUGACCUCGGAUCAGGUAGGGAUACCCGCUGAACUUAAGCAUAUCAAUAAGCGGAGGAAAAGAAACCAACAGGGAUUGCCUU
rnacentral:rRNA from 1 species